rnacentral:lncRNA from 1 species
GUUCGCCGGGGCCAGGGUGAGUCCAGCCCGGCGGGGUCCCGGCGGGACAGGGGAGGCAGGAGAGCGGCAAAGGGCGCUGGCACAGCCCGGUCACCUGCCCGCAGGUACCCGGUGCCGGACAGGGAUGGCCGGGUGGCGUCCCCAUCCAGCCCGGCCCGACACGGACACACAGGGACCGGGAGCCGUCCCAGUGCCCCGAGCACUCACUCGGGAGCUGCUCGGGGUCUGGCUGGGUGAGCUGGGAAGGGACUUUGGGAUGGAUGCGUUUUCCGAACAUCCCUUCCAGCCUCAGCAGUUCUCACCCUGUGCUGACGAAGGUGGGCUUGGAGCUCUGGGCAGGUUUUACGUGAGGGGCUGCACAGGCAAGCUGUGCUGAAGCCGGGGAUGAACCCACACGUUCCCUGGGAGGAAUCCCCAGGGUCCCAGCAGGAUGCAUUAACAGCACAUCUCUCCAGCGAGCCGUGAUGGGAAGAGCACGGAGCAAAAAAAAGGUAAAGUGGUUAAAAACAACUUGUAUUUUUAGAGCCCAGUCUCCCACAGAAAUCUUCCGAGAUGCUGAGCUCUCCACUUUUGAUUUGCGAGGAAUAAUAGUCUGGAAGCCCAGCUGAGACUCCUGGGCUGUAAAUUUUCUGUAGUGUUUUUCUCCGGACCCAUUUGCUGUCCUGCUAAUUAAUCCAGGUAAUGGCUGGGUUGUUUUUUUCCCUUCAGCAGCAGUUUUCCUUUUUGUUAACACGAACAGAGGGAACCGAAGAACCGAUCUCUCGAAGGAUCCUGGCUGGCAGCAAUAUCAGCAUCUGACUGAAGAGAACUCAGCCGCACGCAUAAUCCUCGGGAAAAUUCAUCUCCACCCUCCCGCAGCCCCCGGUGAGAGCCCUUGAAGUGGUAAUUAAAGUCUAUUGAGUGGCAACUGCACCUGUUUAGAGAGGAGAGUGCGGGUAAGAGGUGCACAAAGGGAGAUGAGCAGCGCCGAGAGGAACUGCUGGAGGUGGGGAGGAAGAGAAGUGGAAAGAACGGGGGAAAAGUAUUCGUUGGUUUGUUGAAGUCGAUCCAAUCGGUUGUGCAUUUCCAUCCUGCCCUAGAUUUGCUCUCUC